rnacentral:rRNA from 1 species
UACAGAGGGGGCAAGCGUUGCUCGGAAUUACUGGGCGUAAAGGGCGCGUAGGUGGCCUUCUAAGUUGAACGUGAAAUCCCUGGGCUCAACCCAGGAACUGCGUCCAAGACUGGGAGGCUUGAAUCCGGGAGAGGGAUGCGGAAUUCCAGGUGUAGCGGUGAAAUGCGUAGAUAUCUGGAGGAACACCGGUGGCGAAGGCGGCAUCCUGGACCGGUAUUGACACUGAGGCGCGAAAGCCAGGGGAGCAAACGGG